UGCUAUCUAACUGAGAGUCUCUUCAUUGAAAACAUCCAAAGUUCUUCAAAGGGAAUUCUCUGGGAAGAGAAAACACAGGGUCCAUCUGGGCUAAGCUCCAGUGGUGCCAGUGACCACCAUGUCAUCUGAACCCAGGAUAGACCAACACAGCCUGGCCAUGGCCCUAGGUCUUAUCUGGACCCACACUGCCUCUGGGACUAGUGCUGCGUGCUGUCCCUGUCCUGGAUCGUAGGCCUGGGGAGAUGGUCUGGUGUUGACAGCAGCACUGUUGGACCUGGUCCUGGAUCAGAUGUCGAGACGAUGUUGAAUGGAAUCCAUUCUGAAGGAGAGAAAUGUAGUUAACCUCAUUGAUCUUAAUUGAUUCAAUAUUAAGUCACAAGUGAUAAUGAACACAGGGACUACAAAUCUAACAUCUGGCACAAUGA